UAUACAUGGUUACGCCCUUGAAUGGGGCCUAAAUAUUAUGUGAAUUUCCUACCCUGCUAUGGCAUGACAUAUUAUGCAGCACGAUAAAGUGUCAUUAAUGUCUACAUUGAAUCAACGGUGCUAGAAUAUUUGGUGUUUGGUUGUCCUCCCCCAAAGCCCAUAUAUAUGGAUAACUUGCCAACGAUAUAAACUAUUUGACAAAAGUAUAUAGAUAACACUGCAAUAAGUAAGACAAAUCUUUCGAUAUGAGACAGGCUGUCUCAGUUGAGUUGGGGUCUGAUAGGCGCAGAUACGAAGACAAUUGGUUGAAGUUGUCAACAUCAAAGGGGGCUGACUUUGGCAGUCUAGAAAGCUUUUGGAAUACACCCUGAAACCAGAGAUGGGGAUGGUGAGAAGAAAUUCAGUCUGAAGAAGAGUAAAUGGGAUUGGGUCAAGGGUGUAUGUGGUGAGGCAGUUAGAGUACAUACUGAAACCUCUUGUGAAGCAACAUAAGGCCUCCUGAUGGUAUCAGCCCCAGGGUGCUGAAGACCUGCGCCAUCCAGCUGUCUAAAGCCCACCAACAUCUCCUUAUUCUGAACCUAAAGCAGCAGGCAGUCCCGAUGCUGUAGGAGACACCGUGGCCUCAAUGACCAAUGACUAGUUGCCCUCACAUCCCAUGUGAUGAAGGUGCUGGAGAGGCUGCUCUUGACCCACCUUCAAGCCCAGAUAAAAUCAUCACCGGGCCCUCUGCAAUUUGCAUUGCCUUAUGUGGGAGUGGAUGACGCCAUCAUCUACCUGCUGCCACGAGCCCAGUCGCACCUGGAUGGUGGCUCUAUCCCUUUCUUUGACUUCUCCAAUCAGUGAUUCUGGCGCUUCACAGUUCUGUGUACCUUGUACACAACUCACUUCAGUUAGGGCAGCUCCGACCGCUGGGCGCUACAUGACUUGUAAAAAUAAAUGCUGCAGCCUGCCGAAGAGCAACGUCAGUUUUUACGGCAUAAUGCCGUUAUGAACAGUGCGUGAGUUACCGUAAAACCUUGAUUAAAGACUACAUAGAAGACUGUAAAAAUUGUCAGCCCCUCCCCACUCUUUAUUCUUAAACCGGAAAUAUGAUCAUUAGCGCCUAAAACGUUUUGUGUAUUCUUGUGUGAGUACUACACUUUUAAAUGCUAUUUCCCAUUCUAAAUUCAUAAUUUAUGUCUGCACAUAUAAAUACUUGUUCUGAAUACAAGGGCUUGUAAAUGUGGUAGUUGUAGUUUUUAUUCUUAAAAUAUCAAUGUUUGUCUACAUUUUUAAUUGUUCAAAAAUGCUUCCAGUUUUAUUAGAAAUUAAAUAAAAUACAUAUUAAAAUGUAUACUUAAUUCUAGUUGAGUAAUAACGUCUCAACUUCACCAGGUAUUUUAUGUAAUCCUUCGGUUUUAGUAAUUACUAUUACCCUUCUACGUUAUUAACAAGGCCCAGCAGAACAGGCUGAGCCCCAAUGCUCCCUCAAGCUAAUGGUGACUGAAAGAGUGGGGGGAUGGGCGAGGGUACGGUGGGGACAGUCAAUGUCAGGUUUUGUGUUAAGAACCUUAAGUUUCGUUUUUUUACACAAAACCGAACUGUUACCAUCCACGUGGGGUCCUCGGUCUGGCCACGCCCCCACCAAGCACCUGCUACCGUCCAUUUCCCUCAGACUGCCGAGGAGCAGACAACGUGACGGUGCUGGCUGCAGAAGCUGGAUAGAAAUGGUGAGUUUUUAAUUAUUGGACUAGCUUCUAAUGUAAAACAGUGCUUUUUACGUUUACUUUGAUACUAUUAAUAUAUGUACUGCCAUAUAAAAUGAGCUGUUGCAAUGUGCUAAACUCAACUUAGAUGGGAAGCUAAUGUUAGCUAACAAUAAGCAAGCAUGUGCAACUAGCACCACAAAUAGUGCUGUUAAGUUUACUUUGAUACUAUUUUCAUAUGUACUGCCAUAUAAAAUGAGCUGUUGCAAUGUGUUAAACUCAACUUAAAUGGACAGCUAAUGUUAGCUAACAAUAAGCAAGCAUGUGCAAGCAGCAGCAUGUGCACGCGUUGUGAAAUAGAAUGCUGGACAGCUAAUUAGUUAUUUAUUAUAUACUAUAUAAAUAUAUUCAUGUUUUAUCAAUAUCUUUUCACACAGAAUGUGAAUAUUAUGCUCAACAAAGGGAGUGUAAUACUUAAUCUGCGUUAAGACCUGGAUUAUAACUAAUUUCCCUUUAACCAUUUUAAGUAUCCUUACGGUGGCUUUUGGGCCUAUAACACUUAAUAAGCAGUUUUCCAUUUGCCCAAAGAGUGAUUGUAAUAUCUACCCAUGUAUAAAUAGGCAUUUUAAUUCAGAUUGUCAUAGGUAUUGAGAUAGAUAAUAUAAUGUUUGUCGUUAAGAACAGAAGUAGAUGUUACUAUAAUGCAUUCCAUAACAGAUAAACUUAAUUCAUUUCAGUAAAAAUAAAAAAAAAGAGUACUGUAAUGAGUUGGAUGUAUAGCUUUGGCUGAAUGUGUCCCUUGUGCUUUUAGGAGGAUGGAGCAUGUUUGCCAUCCAGUAGUGACAGCUCGAAGUGCACAGAUGCUGAUGUCGGAGAAAUGAAGGAGCCUUUGACCGUGAACAUACUAACCAGGUAGUUCCGAUGAAAAGAUGCUGCUGGCUGGAGAGGUCUGGUGAAUCUCACACAAAAAAGGUAAUCUCUUCCAAGUUUUUCCAGGUUUUCACCUAACAUAUCUAUUAGGGCUGUCAACAAAUAUUCUAUAU